CUGUCCUUCCGCGGCGGGGCGGCGGCAGCAUGAGCGGUGAGUGCUCGGCGUUAUCCCGGGUCGCGCUGCUUCCCGCAGCCGGGCCCGGUCCGGCUGGGACCCGUCCGGCCUUAGCACAGCACCGGAGACGCGCGGGGUCCCUUUGGAUUGCUGGCCUGUAGCCGCUUCUGAACAUGUUCUCUGCCAGGAAGUGGUCUGGCGUUUUCAGGGCUGUCAGACUGCAUCAUUUCAGAUCCCGUUCUAUAUCCAGAGCCUCUCCAAACCUGACUUUCGUGCCAGCCUGUCUUCCCCCAGAUCCUGCGGAAGUGGAGGAGCUGCAGCACUUUGUUUCUAACUCCAAGAGGCUGUUUGUAAUGACUGGAGCUGGAAUCUCCACAGAGUCAGGGAUCCCCGAUUACCGCUCCGAGGGCGUUGGGCUCUACGCCAGGACAGACAGACGGCCGAUCCAGCACGCUGAGUUCGUCCGCAGCGCCAGUGCCCGGCAGCGAUACUGGGCAAGGAACUUCGUGGGCUGGCCCCAGUUCUCCUCCCACCAGCCAAACAAGGCACACCUGGUACUGAGAGACUGGGAGAAGCUGGGCAAGCUGCACUGGCUGGUGACCCAGAACGUGGAUGCCCUUCACACCAAAGCUGGGAGCCAGCGCGUGACGGAGCUGCACGGCUGCAUACACAGGGUUUUCUGCUUGGCCUGUGGAGACCGAAUCUUGCGUUCUGAGCUCCAGGAGCACUUUGAAGCUCUGAAUCCUACUUGGAAAGCUGAAGCGUUUGGUGUGGCUCCGGAUGGGGAUGUCUUCCUGACGGACGAGCAGGUGCGCAAUUUCCAAGUCCCAGCCUGCCGUAAAUGUGGUGGAAUCCUGAAGCCGGAUGUGACCUUCUUUGGAGACACAGUAAGCCAGGAAAAAGUCCAUUUUGUACACCAGCGCCUGGCAGAAUCGGACUCCAUGCUGAUAGCAGGAUCCUCUAUGCAGGUGUACUCUGGUUACAGGUUUGCUCUUGCUGCUCGGGAAAAGAAGCUGCCAAUUGCAGUCCUUAACAUUGGGCCCACCAGGUUAGAUCAUUUUGCAUCCUUAAAGCUGAAUUCCCGCUGUGGAGAGCUGCUGCCUUUGAUUGUUUGCAAGUGACCCAACCAGCUGAGCUUCAGUAGCUAUCAGGAUUAAAGUUAUUUUUACAAGGACUGAUCUAAGAAAGGGGAAAACUCCAAUCCAAGAGGCAGCUGUGAGACGCAGUGCACAGCCGCUGAGGGCACCAGGAGAGGGCAGCAAGCCUCACACGUGUCAGCCUCACCAGUUCUCUCCACCGAAACCAUCUCCACGUAUCGGGAAACCGAAUGAGGAUGAAAAAAAAGUACUUUUCUGCCUUCCCUUGCCGUUUCAAACAGUGCCUUUUCAUUCAGUGGGACAGGAUAAUUGAACUACCAUGUCUGAGGAAAAAAUACCUUUCUUAUAAUUACCCUAGGAGAAGGAAGGUACAGGGAUUUUGACCAGGUAAUUUGAGGCUGUAGCACAGGAGGGCGAUGUGGGACUGCUGGGGGAUCCAGUGUCACUGGUGGGAUACUGUAGAGUGUGCAAAGAGGAAAAAGAGGCAAGAGGAACUGCAGUGGUCACUUUCAAAAAAAGAAGGUUCAAAACAGAAGCUGAACAAGAGCACUGCUUUGUAACAGAUUAUUUGGAAGCACAAGCUAUAAGGCUGACAUCUUCCAGCAAGGAGGGGAAGUCAGCAUUUCUUUCAACUGUUGUUUGACAGGGUAAAAUGCUUCUAUCCAACCCCUUUAAAAAUGAAAUAUUGUUGAAAUCCCAGAGGAGUUACUUGAAGCUAAUCUGACCAGCACUACUUUCAGUGAGGCCACUACAUUUUCCAGAAUGCAUUUUUUAAGGCAUUAUUUAAUUAAUUAAUAGCUGCAAUUAAAAUUGUUUAGAGGAUUGAGACUAUUUGCAUUGUAAUUUUCUCUCCCUUCCAUGAUUUAAGUACAUUCUCAAUAGCCAGUUUAGAUUCUUCGGUUUUCCAUUGCAAAAAUGCAGGUUGUAAUUACUAGCAGCUGAUGAAUUAAGAGAGAAAUACAAUUAAAUCUGUACAAUAGGUCUCCCUCAGGAGAUAAUCUCUGUUGAAAGGUGCAAUUUCCACACUCCUAACAGGAAAUCCAUCACUACUGGGUAGUGAUUUUUUGUUGAUCCUUAGGACGGUAUUGUAAGCUCUAUCAAACUGAGUAAAAUACAGAACCUGGCACAAACUAGAACACUAACUUUUUGACCUGACCUUCUUCAUGAAACUACCACUUCCCCUCUUCUAGCUCUGAAGGAUUUAAUUGUUGGGGUUUUCCAAGUGCCCCCUCCUACUCCAAGUAACAUGUCCUGGACUAAUAUUUUGACACGAACUGUAACAAGCAGUUGGAAACAAGGAUGCCAGAGUCAUCUGCUAAAAGGUCAAGUAGCAAAGCAAGGACAACUGACCACAGGAUGCAAAGUUAAUUUUUGCUUUGUUGUCUAUUCAAAUCCAUGCCAGGAGAGAGCAAAUAAAGCACAGAAUCUAAGGCAUACAUAAGGCAUCCAAUUUCUGCAGAAGGUAGAGGGCAUUAAGAUGCAUAAGACAUUUCAAGAUUUGGCUGUAUUGUGUUAGAGGAGACAGCUUCACUUUGAAGCCGAGCAAGAACAGUUCAGGACUCCCACCUGCAUUCUGCUCUCGUUGAAUGGUGACUCCACUUUCCAAUGACUCAGGUUUCUGCUGCUUGGCAGUGAGCAGAGCUCACAGAUCUCUCUCCAUCUUAAGCUGUUGUGUCUGCAGUACAGCUGUCCCACCAACCAAAGCUAUUGCAGAAAUCAUGCCUAAAGCACAGCAGAAUCUCCACAUACACCAUGUUUUCAUGCAGGGGCUUUUCCUGUAAGAAAAGAUGCUGGUGCCUCCUUAGCAGAGGAGCUGGGGCUGAGGUUCUCACUAUCCACAUCAUCUUCUCCUCCUCCUUGAAACUUACACGACAUUGGUGUGCCGAACCAGAGGCUGCAGGUUCAGUGCCAGUAGAGCCAGCAUUUUGAGAAGGUGGGAGCAUUGCCAAGCAGUCUAAAGUCUUGGAACAAGUUCUGUGACAGGUAACUAAACCUCCCACAUCUACCCCUGCCUCCUCCAGUUCUGCAGCUGAGCCUGUGGGAGAGGAGUCAGGAUGUCUCUUCAGGAUCAGUCUCAGAUGAGUCAUUACUCCAAUUCCCCAUUGAUUGGUACUUUUAAGUCACCAGGACAAUGAUUUAGAAUAAAUGAACAUAACAGUAAAUUUCCUGUGCCUGGUUUAUUACUAUAUGGUAAUGAGCAUAUCUACAACAACGAUGAGACUGAGAUGAAGUUCCUUCUUUUUUCUGCUAAGCUGGUCCAGCACUACUAAAAUUGACCUCUUUUAGAACAGGAUCAGAGCACUUCUUAACAUAUUCACCUUAACUUAAACAUUAAAUUUACUUACAUGAGAAAUGCCUGAGAGAGCCUAAAAUUCCUACGCCAAAAGCCACGACAUGAAAUUAGCUGAAUCAACAGCUUUUGCUCUUUUCUUUUUCUUACAACUGUUCCUCCUGAAGCUUGGAUAGAGCAGCUGAGAGUAUCUUGCAAUGGAUUUUUCUUCUGCUCCUCUUAAAGUGGGGUUGGAGUUAUGCAAAGCAAAUAAAAGUUACUUCCUAUUUGGCAAA